rnacentral:rRNA from 1 species
GUAGGUGGCAAGCGUUGUCCGGAAUUAUUGGGCGUAAAGCGCGCGCAGGCGGUCCUUUAAGUCUGAUGUGAAAGCCCACGGCUCAACCGUGGAGGGUCAUUGGAAACUGGGGGACUUGAGUACAGAAGAGGAAAGCGGAAUUCCAAGUGUAGCGGUGAAAUGCGUAGAGAUUUGGAGGAACACCAGUGGCGAAGGCGGCUUUCUGGUCUGUAACUGACGCUGAGGCGCGAAAGCGUGGGGAGCAAACAGGAUUAGAUACCCUGGUAGUCCACGCCGUAAACGAUGAGUGCUAAGUGUUAGGGGUUUCCGCCCCCUUAGUGCUGCAGCUAACGCAUUAAGCACUCCGCCUGGGGAGUACGGCCGCAAGGCUG